GACGAACGCUGGCGGCGUGCUUAACACAUGCAAGUCGAACGGAAAGGCCCUGCUUUUGUGGGGUGCUCGAGUGGCGAACGGGUGAGUAACACGUGAGUAACCUGCCCUUGACUUUGGGAUAACUUCAGGAAACUGGGGCUAAUACCGGAUAGGAGCUCCUGCUGCAUGGUGGGGGUUGGAAAGUUUCGGCGGUUGGGGAUGGACUCGCGGCUUAUCAGCUUGUUGGUGGGGUAGUGGCUUACCAAGGCUUUGACGGGUAGCCGGCCUGAGAGGGUGACCGGCCACAUUGGGACUGAGAUACGGCCCAGACUCCUACGGGAGGCAGCAGUGGGGAAUAUUGCACAAUGGGCGGAAGCCUGAUGCAGCAACUCCGCGUGCGGGAUGACAGCCUUCGGGUUGUAAACCGCUUUCGCCUGUGACGAAGCGUGAGUGACGGUAAUGGGUAAAGAAGCACCGGCUAACUACGUGCCAGCAGCCGCGGUGAUACGUAGGGUGCGAGCGUUGUCCGGAUUUAUUGGGCGUAAAGGGCUCGUAGGUGGUUGAUCGCGUCGGAAGUGUAAUCUUGGGGCUUAACCCUGAGCGUGCUUUCGAUACGGGUUGACUUGAGGAAGGUAGGGGAGAAUGGAAUUCCUGGUGGAGCGGUGGAAUGCGCAGAUAUCAGGAGGAACACCAGUGGCGAAGGCGGUUCUCUGGGCCUUUCCUGACGCUGAGGAGCGAAAGCGUGGGGAGCGAACAGGCUUAGAUACCCUGGUAGUCCACGCUGUAAACGGUGGGUACUAGGUGUGGGGUCCAUUCCACGGGUUCCGUGCCGUAGCUAACGCUUUAAGUACCCCGCCUGGGGAGUACGGCCGCAAGGCUAAAACUCAAAGGAAUUGACGGGGCCCCGCACAAGCGGCGGAGCAUGCGGAUUAAUUCGAUGCAACGCGUAGAACCUUACCUGGGUUUGACAUGGAUCGGGAGCGCUCAGAGAUGGGUGUGCCUCUUUUGGGGUCGGUUCACAGGUGGUGCAUGGCUGUCGUCAGCUCGUGUCGUGAGAUGUUGGGUUAAGUCCCGCAACGAGCGCAACCCUUGUUUACUGUUGCCAGCACGUUAUGGUGGGGACUCAGUGGAGACCGCCGGGGUCAACUCGGAGGAAGGUGGGGAUGACGUCAAGUCACCAUGCCCCUUAUGUCCAGGGCUUCACGCAUGCUACAAUGGCUGGUACAGAGAGUGGCGAGCCUGUGAGGGUGAGCGAAUCUCGGAAAGCCGGUCUCAGUUCGGAUUGGGGUCUGCAACUCGACCUCAUGAAGUCGGAGUCGCUAGUAAUCGCAGAUCAGCAACGCUGCGGUGAAUACGUUCCCGGGGCU
rnacentral:rRNA from 1 species